UACGAAGGGGGCUAGCGUUGCUCGGAAUGACUGGGCGUAAAGGGCGCGUAGGCGGAUGGUACAGUCAGAUGUGAAAUUCCCGGGCUCAACCUGGGGGGCUGCAUUUGAUACGUAUGAUCUUGAGUGGGGAAGAGGGUCGUGGAAUUCCCAGUGUAGAGGUGAAAAUUCGUAGAUAUUGGGAAGAACACCGGUGGCGAAGGCGGCGACCUGGUCCUUAUACUGACGCGUGAGGCGCGAAAAGCGUGGGGGAGCAAACAGGGAU
rnacentral:rRNA from 1 species